GUAGGUGGCAAGCGUUGUCCGGAAUUAUUGGGCGUAAAGCGCGCGCAGGCGGUUCUUUAAGUCUGAUGUGAAAGCCCACGGCUCAACCGUGGAGGGUCAUUGGAAACUGGAGAACUUGAGUACAGAAGAGGAAAGCGGAAUUCCACGUGUAGCGGUGAAAUGCGUAGAGAUGUGGAGGAACACCAGUGGCGAAGGCGGCUCUCUGGUCUGUAACUGACGCCGAGGCGCGAAAGCGUGGGGAGCAAACAGGAUUAGAUACCCUGGUAGUCCACGCCGUAAACGAUGAGUGCUAAGUGUUAGGGGGUUUUCCGCCCCCCUUAGUGCUGCAGCUAACGCAUUAAGCACUCCGCCUGGGAGUACGGCCGCAAGGCUG
rnacentral:rRNA from 1 species